rnacentral:rRNA from 1 species
AUUGAACGCUGGCGGCAUGCCUUACACAUGCAAGUCGAACGGUAACGCGGGGCAACCUGGCGACGAGUGGCGAACGGGUGAGUAAUAUAUCGGAACGUGCCCAGUAGUGGGGGAUAGCCCGGCGAAAGCCGGAUUAAUACCGCAUACGACCUAAGGGUGAAAGCGGGGGAUCGCAAGACCUCGCGCUAUUGGAGCGGCCGAUAUCAGAUUAGGUAGUUGGUGGGGUAAAGGCCUACCAAGCCGACGAUCUGUAGCUGGUCUGAGAGGACGACCAGCCACACUGGGACUGAGACAUGGCCCAGACUCCUACGGGAGGCAGCAGUGGGGAAUUUUGGACAAUGGGCGCAAGCCUGAUCCAGCCAUGCCGCGUGCGGGAAG